UACGUAGGGUGCAAGCGUUGAUCGGAAUUACUGGGCGUAAAGCGUGCGCAGGCGGUUGUGCAAGACAGAUGUGAAAUCCCCGGGCUCAACCUGGGAACUGCAUUUGUGACUGCACGGCUAGAGUGUGUCAGAGGGGGGUAGAAUUCCACGUGUAGCAGUGAAAUGCGUAGAUAUGUGGAGGAAUACCGAUGGCGAAGGCAGCCCCCUGGGAUAACACUGACGCUCAUGCACGAAAGCGUGGGGAGCAAACAGG
rnacentral:rRNA from 1 species